rnacentral:rRNA from 1 species
AUGCCGACGAACAUGAUCUCCAACAGGGUGCUUGAGAAGGAUGUCCUUCCACUGGAUGUUGAGCCUCCUGCAAAGAGGGGACCAGCCUCGCGGACGAGCGUGCGUCGCAAUCCAAACAUGGAGAAGCUUCAGAACGGCUACUUAUUCCCGGAGAUUAGCAUGAGACGUGAAGCACACGAGAAGAAGUACCCGGACGCCAAGGUCAUCAGCUUGGGCAUCGGGGACACGACCCAGCCCAUACCAAGCAUCGUCACUUCGGCCAUGGCCGAGUACGCGCUUGCGUUAUCAACUCCCGAAGGGUACCAAGGCUAUGGGCCAGAGCAAGGCCAGAAGAGUCUGAGGAAGGCCAUCGCUGACGUAGUGUACCCAAACAUGGGGAUACGAGACACCGAGGUGUUCAUCUCCGACGGAGCGCAGUGCGACAUUGCGCGCCUUCAGAUGAUGUUCGGGCGGGACGUGACCAUCGCCGUGCAGGACCCCACGUUCCCGGGGUACGUGGACAACGGCGUGAUCAUGGGGCAGACGGGGCCGGCGGCGGUCGACGAGGAGUCCGGCGGCAGCCGGUACGCCGGGAUCGAGUACAUGCGGUGCGCGCCGGAGAACGCCUUCUUCCCGGACCUCUCGCGCGUCCGCCGCACCGACGUCAUCUUCUUCUGCUCGCCCAACAACCCCACGGGCCACGCCGCCUCCCGCGACCAGCUGCGGCAGCUCGUCGACUUCGCGCGCCGCAACGGCUCCAUCGUCGUCUUCGACUCCGCCUACGCCUCCUACGUCUCCCCCGGCGCCGGCGGCGACGACGGCGACAAGCCGCGGUCCAUCUACGAGGUGCCGGGGGCGCGGGAGGUGGCCAUCGAGAUCUCCUCCUUCUCCAAGUUCGCCGGGUUCACGGGGGUGCGGCUGGGGUGGGCCGUGGUGCCCGACGAGCUGCUCUACGCCGACGGCACCCGCGUGGCCCGGGACUUCGACCGCGUGGUGACCACCUGCUUCAACGGCGCGUCCAGCGUGGCGCAGGCGGGCGGGCUGGCGUGCCUGGCCACGGAGGAGGGCCGCGCCGCCGUGGCGCGCGUGGUGGCCGGGUACAAGGAGAACGCGCGGGUGCUGGUGGGCACCUUCCAGGCGCUGGGCAAGGAGGUGUACGGCGGCGACGACUCGCCCUACGUCUGGGUGCGCCUCUUCCCCGGCCGCCGCUCCUGGGACGUGUUCGCCGAGAUCCUCGAGAAGACGCACGUCAUCACCGUGCCGGGGAGCGGCUUCGGCCCCGGCGGCGAGGGCUUCGUCAGGGUCAGCGCCUUCAACAGCCGGGACCGGGUCGUCGAGGCCUGCGCCAGGCUCACCAGCUUCCUCGCCUGA